UUAAGUUAUUAAGGGCGCACGGUGGAUGCCUUGGCACUAGAAGCCGAUGAAGGACGUUACUAACGACGAUAUGCUUUGGGGAGCUGUAAGUAAGCUUUGAUCCAGAGAUUUCCGAAUGGGGAAACCCAGCAUGAGUUAUGUCAUGUUAUCGAUAUGUGAAUACAUAGCAUAUCAGAAGGCACACCCGGAGAACUGAAACAUCUUAGUACCCGGAGGAAGAGAAAGAAAAUUCGAUUCCCUUAGUAGCGGCGAGCGAAAUGGGAAGAGCCUAAACCAACAAGCUUGCUUGUUGGGGUUGUAGGACACUCUAUACGGAGUUACAAAGGACGACAUUAGACGAAUCAUCUGGAAAGAUGAAUCAAAGAAGGUAAUAAUCCUGUAGUCGAAAAUGUUGUCUCUCUUGAGUGGAUCCUGAGUACGACGGAGCACGUGAAAUUCCGUCGGAAUCUGGGAGGACCAUCUCCUAAGGCUAAAUACUCUCUAGUGACCGAUAGUGAACCAGUACCGUGAGGGAAAGGUGAAAAGCACCCCGGAAGGGGAGUGAAAUAGAACCUGAAACCGUGUGCUUACAAGUAGUCAGAGCCCGUUAAUGGGUGAUGGCGUGCCUUUUGUAGAAUGAACCGGCGAGUUACGAUUUGAUGCAAGGUUAAGCAGUAAAUGUGGAGCCGUAGCGAAAGCGAGUCUGAAUAGGGCGUUUAGUAUUUGGUCGUAGACCCGAAACCAGGUGAUCUACCCUUGGUCAGGUUGAAGUUCAGGUAACACUGAAUGGAGGACCGAACCGACUUACGUUGAAAAGUGAGCGGAUGAACUGAGGGUAGCGGAGAAAUUCCAAUCGAACCUGGAGAUAGCUGGUUCUCUCCGAAAUAGCUUUAGGGCUAGCCUCAAGUGAUGAUUAUUGGAGGUAGAGCACUGUUUGGACGAGGGGCCCCUCUCGGGUUACCGAAUUCAGACAAACUCCGAAUGCCAAUUAAUUUAACUUGGGAGUCAGAACAUGGGUGAUAAGGUCCGUGUUCGAAAGGGAAACAGCCCAGACCACCAGCUAAGGUCCCAAAAUAUAUGUUAAGUGGAAAAGGAUGUGGCGUUGCCCAGACAACUAGGAUGUUGGCUUAGAAGCAGCCAUCAUUUAAAGAGUGCGUAAUAGCUCACUAGUCGAGUGACACUGCGCCGAAAAUGUACCGGGGCUAAACAUAUUACCGAAGCUGUGGAUUGUCCUUUGGACAAUGGUAGGAGAGCGUUCUAAGGGCGUUGAAGCAUGAUCGUAAGGACAUGUGGAGCGCUUAGAAGUGAGAAUGCCGGUGUGAGUAGCGAAAGACGGGUGAGAAUCCCGUCCACCGAUUGACUAAGGUUUCCAGAGGAAGGCUCGUCCGCUCUGGGUUAGUCGGGUCCUAAGCUGAGGCCGACAGGCGUAGGCGAUGGAUAACAGGUUGAUAUUCCUGUACCACCUAUAAUCGUUUUAAUCGAUGGGGGGACGCAGUAGGAUAGGCGAAGCGUGCGAUUGGAUUGCACGUCUAAGCAGUAAGGCUGAGUAUUAGGCAAAUCCGGUACUCGUUAAGGCUGAGCUGUGAUGGGGAGAAGACAUUGUGUCUUCGAGUCGUUGAUUUCACACUGCCGAGAAAAGCCUCUAGAUAGAAAAUAGGUGCCCGUACCGCAAACCGACACAGGUAGUCAAGAUGAGAAUUCUAAGGUGAGCGAGCGAACUCUCGUUAAGGAACUCGGCAAAAUGACCCCGUAACUUCGGGAGAAGGGGUGCUCUUUAGGGUUAACGCCCAGAAGAGCCGCAGUGAAUAGGCCCAAGCGACUGUUUAUCAAAAACACAGGUCUCUGCUAAACCGUAAGGUGAUGUAUAGGGGCUGACGCCUGCCCGGUGCUGGAAGGUUAAGAGGAGUGGUUAGCUUCUGCGAAGCUACGAAUCGAAGCCCCAGUAAACGGCGGCCGUAACUAUAACGGUCCUAAGGUAGCGAAAUUCCUUGUCGGGUAAGUUCCGACCCGCACGAAAGGCGUAACGAUUUGGGCACUGUCUCAACGAGAGACUCGGUGAAAUCAUAGUACCUGUGAAGAUGCAGGUUACCCGCGACAGGACGGAAAGACCCCGUGGAGCUUUACUGUAGCCUGAUAUUGAAAUUCGGCACAGCUUGUACAGGAUAGGUAGGAGCCUUUGAAACGUGAGCGCUAGCUUACGUGGAGGCGCUGGUGGGAUACUACCCUAGCUGUGUUGGCUUUCUAACCCGCACCACUUAUCGUGGUGGGAGACAGUGUCAGGCGGGCAGUUUGACUGGGGCGGUCGCCUCCUAAAAGGUAACGGAGGCGCUCAAAGGUUCCCUCAGAAUGGUUGGAAAUCAUUCAUAGAGUGUAAAGGCAUAAGGGAGCUUGACUGCGAGACCUACAAGUCGAGCAGGGUCGAAAGACGGACUUAGUGAUCCGGUGGUUCCGCAUGGAAGGGCCAUCGCUCAACGGAUAAAAGCUACCCCGGGGAUAACAGGCUUAUCUCCCCCAAGAGUUCACAUCGACGGGGAGGUUUGGCACCUCGAUGUCGGCUCAUCGCAUCCUGGGGCUGUAGUCGGUCCCAAGGGUUGGGCUGUUCGCCCAUUAAAGCGGUACGCGAGCUGGGUUCAGAACGUCGUGAGACAGUUCGGUCCCUAUCCGUCGUGGGCGUAGGAAAUUUGAGAGGAGCUGUCCUUAGUACGAGAGGACCGGGAUGGACAUACCUCUGGUGUACCAGUUGUCGUGCCAACGGCAUAGCUGGGUAGCUAUGUGUGGACGGGAUAAGUGCUGAAAGCAUCUAAGCAUGAAGCCCCCCUCAAGAUGAGAUUUCCCAACUUCGGUUAUAAGAUCCCUCAAAGAUGAUGAGGUUAAUAGGUUCGAGGUGGAAGCAUGGUGACAUGUGGAGCUGACGAAUACUAAUCGAUCGAAGACUUAAUCAA
rnacentral:rRNA from 1 species